rnacentral:tRNA from 1 species
GCGGGAGUAGCAAAGCCUGGCCAAAUGCGCAGGACUUAAGAUCCUGUGGGUUAGUCCCUUCGCCAGUUCGAAAUUCUGGCCUCCCGCA